GACCUCUCACGGAGUUGAACCUGGAGAGUUUCCAGUACUCCACCAGUCUCAACUACGGGAGGGAGAGUCAAGAAGAAGCCUACCCAUUCCACUCCUAGCUUGGCCAGUGGCUAGUGAGUGGAAGGCAAUCUGCUACAAGU